AUCCAACAGUUUGACUUUUCGUAUGCUUGUUAGAAUAUAUUAUCGAAGACUUUUUUUCUCUUAUAAGCAAGCAAACUUACGAAAAAAUUCUUGUGGAAAGGCAUAAUCAUGAGAAUUUACGUGCAUCUCUUCAUUCGUCUCUAUUUCAUUAUUUUCUUCAUUCUCCGUCAAAGAAAAUUCAUCUUGUGUUCCCCAUUUCCGCUUUUUUUCUGAGGGCGAGGCACAAAUGCUGACAUUCUGUAAACUUGGACCUUCAUAUUCAACAUUUUCAAGCUCCACGCUUUCUAAUUCAGUAAGGACUUCAUUGAGAUGACUGCUUGCAUCUGAUUCAAAUUCGAAUCUCAUUGAAAUCACUCAAUUAAUUGGUACGAUGGUGGUUGGUUAUGGCAAAGAUUAAUCUAACAGAAACGAUGGGUUUGUUUACGUGACACGAGUCGCGUCAGUCAGUCAUUAAUUAUUUUGCAGUUCACAUACAACCAUUGCAAUCAAGUAUAUAAUAAUUUAU